GAUGAACGCUGGCGGCGUGCCUAAUACAUGCAGGUAGAACGCUGAAGGAGGAGCUUGCUCUUCUGGAUGAGUUGCGAACGGGUGAGUAACGCGUAGGUAACCUGCCUGGUAGCGGGGGAUAACUAUUGGAAACGAUAGCUAAUACCGCAUGACAACAGUUAUUGCAUGAUAACUGUUUAAAAGGGGCAACUGCUCCACUACCAGAUGGACCUGCGUUGUAUUAGCUAGUUGGUGAGGUAACGGCUCACCAAGGCGACGAUACAUAGCCGACCUGAGAGGGUGAUCGGCCACACUGGGACUGAGACACGGCCCAGACUCCUACGGGAGGCAGCAGUAGGGAAUCUUCGGCAAUGGACGGAAGUCUGACCGAGCAACGCCGCGUGAGUGAAGAAGGUUUUCGGAUCGUAAAGCUCUGUUGUAAGAGAAGAACGAGUGUGAGAGUGGAAAGUUCACACUGUGACGGUAUCUUACCAGAAAGGGACGGCUAACUACGU
rnacentral:rRNA from 1 species